ACCUUGGUAUAAAAAAGUACUAUUAUUUUUAUACUAGAUUGUAACUGGAUUAUACACAAAAAGUAUACAAUUGCAGAGUAUCAAUAGGUCGAGAUCUUUAUUGUUGAUAAUGUUCAGGAUCUAAAGCCAUUGUACUUGCAAUGAACGAAUUUGUUUCGAGAUAGACAUAGGUCUAGAUCUAUAUAAUAAUGAAUAAAUCAUAAUAAAUGAAUACAUGGACUGAUAGUGAUA